CUCGCUACUAUGUCCUGGUCCGGAGUCCGGAGGCACUGCCCUGGAGAAGGGCGAUUGUUAGUUCUCUACGUGCGAGGCUGCAGCGCCCUCUGGGCGAGGACACCCAGGGGUCCUCCAGGUUAAGAGCACUGACUAUUCUUCCAGAGGAUCAGGGUUCAAUUCCCAGCACCUGUAUGGCGACUUACAGCUGUCUAUAACUCCAGUACCAGAGGAUACAACAUCCUCACACGGACAUACAUUUCUCCACUGCUU
rnacentral:lncRNA from 1 species